rnacentral:rRNA from 1 species
GAUGAACGCUGGCGGCGUGCCUAACACAUGCAAGUCGAACGGAGUCCCGCCUUUAAGACCUUCUGGUCAAAGAGGGGACGACUGAGUGGCGGACGGGUGAGUAACACGUGGGCAAGCUGGAACAUCGAGGGGGAUGACAGAAAGACAUUUCUGCUAAUACGGCAUAUGCACACACUGCCGCAUGGUAGGCGGUGAGAAGAGAAUCGCUAUGAGAUGGACCCGCGUCUGAUUAUCUAGCUGGCAGGGUAAGAGCCUAGCAACGCGACGAUCAGUAGCCGAGCUGAGAGGAUGAACGGCCACAUUGGGACUGAGACACGGCCCACACUCCGACGGGAGGCAGCAGUGGGGGAUAUUGCACAAUGGGGGGAAACCUGAUGCAGCGACGCCGCGUGUGUGAAGAAGUAUUUCGGUAUGUAAAUCUCUAUCAGCAGGGAAGAUAAUGACAGUACCGGAAAAAGAAGCCCCGGCUAACUACGUG